rnacentral:rRNA from 1 species
UACGUAGGUGGCAAGCGUUAUCCGGAAUUACUGGGCGUAAAGCGCACGCAGGCGGUCUUGUAAGUUUGGCGUGAAAGCUCCCGGCUUAACUGGGAGAGGUCGCUGAAGACUGCAAGACUUGAGGAAAUGAGAGGGGUGUAGAAUUCCCGGUGUAGUGGUGGAAUGCGUAGAUAUCGGGGGGAAUACCAGUGGCGAAAGCGGCACCCUAGCAUUUUUCUGACGCUCAUGUGCGAAAGCGUGGGGAGCGAACGGGG